UUUUUUCCUUUUGCCCUUAGCCUCCGUCGUUUCCUCUCUUCUCUUUUGCGAUUUUGAAGCCGCCCUCACGCGACUUCGAAGCCGGCGGCCCUCCUUCGGACUCUUCCGUCUUCCCCUCCCCACCGUGUACCGACGCAGAAGACGCCGACCACAUUCCCAUCGUCACCGACCGCACGAGCCCUCUGCUACCUCCCUCGGCCGACAUGGGGCCUUCGCCCAACCCCUUCUCUAUUCAUCAUCGUCUUGGUGACCUAAGCAGGGCACUGCCCCGGCCGCCGCCAAGGACUUGAGAUCCUUGGCAGUCUUCUGACAGAGACCCGACCCUUGCCCUCAACGCAGUCGAUGUCCGCACGCCCUGCCCUCAACGUAGCCGAAUUGGGUCACUUAUUAAUAACGGAUUGGAUCUUCCUGGUCCCUUUGAUUCCUCUAUGAGAGUUGGUUAAGGAUUUGAGUUCGAAGCAAACCCUCUGAUUAGAUGGUUUGGACACUCUACAUUUUCUACAUUUGAGAUGGGUGUCCUCAAAAGUACUAAGAAGAACGUCGAAAAACUAAAAAAAUGAAGAGACUUUAAUAAGUUAAGGAACACUAGGAGCUGUAGUGCCGCCUCUUCACCGACAUCCAAGCAUAAAAUCUCAUGUUAUAUUGCUCUACCUUUAUUUUAAUAGUGUUGUUAGUUAUCAUUUUAUUGAUUGCUUAUGAAAUUUCUUUAGAAUAUUGUAGAUAUUAUUUUCAAAUGUUAAAAAAUUCUAUAUUAAAUUUUAUUUUAAAAUUUAGUAUUUUGAAUGAUUUAUAAUAUUGGAAAAUUGUGUAUUAUAUUUUUUAUUUUUUAGCUGAAAAAAAAUAACGAUUUUUCAUCGUUGUCGUAGGCAGUUAUGAAAAAUGGCUUUUUCUUUGUUAUGAAAAAUGCAACUAAGAAACAAUGGCUUUUGUGUGUUGGGUAGUUUCUCCGAAACAUAGUUCCUCUCUAAUUUGUAGUUUCUUUUCUUUUCCAUGUAUAUUUUAGGAAAAAUUACUUUUUUCCCCUUAAAUGAUGGGAUUCGUAUCAAUUUUGUUAGCAACUUUGAGUUGUAUUAAUACCAAAGUUUAAAAGUAUCAUUCCUUUGUUCCCUUCUCAUUCUUCUUCU